UACAUAAAAAGAUUAAAACCUUAAACCAACAACUUUGAUAAUUACGGUAAUACGAGGAUAACAUUUAUUAUCGUUGACAUUAUCUCAUUUAUAAAUCAUAUGAAACACGAUAAGCAAAGACACACACGUUAACGUCGAACUCGAUUUCCUCCAUAUGAGCUAUGACGAAGGAAUCUGACAUACCAAUUUACUUUCCGCCUUCUAUCACGCGUCAUCGGAGCUCCACAGUCUACGUGAUCUUCAAAUCAUA
rnacentral:lncRNA from 1 species